rnacentral:rRNA from 1 species
GAGAAGACCCUAUAGAGCUUAAUAAAAUAAUUUCUAAGCUAAAAAUUAUUUUAUUAAAUURKSKUGAUUUUAAUUUUUAAUUAACAAUUAUUUUUUUUUUCAAUAAUUUUUGAUUUUUUGAUCCAAUUUUUUUGAUUAUAAGAUUAAGCUACCUUAGGGAUAACAGCGUAAUUUAUUUGGAGAGUUCUUAUUAAUAUUUAAGUUUGCGACCUCGAUGUUGAAUUAAGAUAUAGAUUAGGAGAAGAUUCUUAUAUUUUUUGGUCUGUUCGACCAUUUAUUUCUUACAUGAUUUGAGUUUAGACCGGCGUGAGCCAGGUCGGUUUCUAUCCUUAAUAUAAUUAUUAUUUUUUAGUACGAGAGGACCAAAAAUUUAAUAAAAAUUUU